GUAGGGGUGGCAGAACCCGGGUAUUGCAAGAGGCCUAAGCCCUUUCAAUAGAGGUUCAAAUCCUCUCCCCUAUU
rnacentral:tRNA from 1 species